CCUACGGGCGGCAGCAGUAGGGAAUCUUCCACAAUGGGCGAAAGCCUGAUGGAGCAACGCCGCGUGGGUGAAGAAGGUCUUCGGAUCGUAAAACCCUGUUGUUAGAGAAGAAAGUGCGUGAGAGUAACUGUUCACGUUUCGACGGUAUCUAACCAGAAAGCCACGGCUAACUACGUGCCAGCAGCCGCGGUAAUACGUAGGUGGCAAGCGUUAUCCGGAUUUAUUGGGCGUAAAGGGAACGCAGGCGGUCUUUUAAGUCUGAUGUGAAAGCCUUCGGCUUAACCGGAGUAGUGCAUUGGAAACUGGGAGACUUGAGUGCAGAAGAGGAGAGUGGAACUCCAUGUGUAGCGGUGAAAUGCGUAGAUAUAUGGAAGAACACCAGUGGCGAAAGCGGCUCUCUGGACUGCAACUGACACUGAGGCUCGAAAGUGUGGGUAUCAAACAGGAUUAGAUACCCCUGUAGUC
rnacentral:rRNA from 1 species